rnacentral:rRNA from 1 species
UUCGCAAUGCCCGAAAGGGUGACGAAGCGACGCCGCGUGAGCGAAGAAGGCCCUAGGGUUGUAAAGCUCUGUCGGGGGUUAUGAAAUGCAGGUUGGUUAAUACCCAACCUGUUUGACAAAGGCCCCAAAGGAAGCCACGGCUAACUCUGUGCCAGCAGCCGCGGUAAUACAGAGGUGGCAAGCGUUGUUCGGUAUUAUUGGGCGUAAAGAGCACGUAGGUGGUUUUGUAAGUCAGAUGUGAAAGCCUUCUGUUCAAAGGAAGAACGGCAUCUGAGACUGCAGAUCUUGAGUGUAGGAGGGGAGAGUGGAACUUCUGGUGGAGCGGUGAGAUGCGUAGAUAUCAGAAGGAACGUCGGCGGCGAAAGCGACUCUCUGGCCUAUUACUGACACUGAGUGUGCGAAAGUUAGGGGAGCAAACGGGAUUAGAUACCCCGGUAGUCCUAACUGUAAACGAUGGGCACUAAGUAGAGGGGUUUU